GGGACACGUGGUAUCCUGUCUGAAUAUGGGGGGACCAUCCUCCAAGGCUAAAUACUCCUGACUGACCGAUAGUGAACCAGUACCGUGAGGGAAAGGCGAAAAGAACCCCGGCGAGGGGAGUGAAAAAGAACCUGAAACCGUGUACGUACAAGCAGUGGGAGCCUCUUAAUGGGGUGACUGCGUACCUUUUGUAUAAUGGGUCAGCGACUUAUAUUCUGUAGCAAGGUUAACCGAAUAGGGGAGCCGAAGGGAAACCGAGUCUUAACUGGGCGUUAAGUUGCAGGGUAUAGACCCGAAACCCGGUGAUCUAGCCAUGGGCAGGUUGAAGGUUGGGUAACACUAACUGGAGGACCGAACCGACUAAUGUUGAAAAAUUAGCGGAUGACUUGUGGCUGGGGGUGAAAGGCCAAUCAAACCGGGAGAUAGCUGGUUCUCCCCGAAAGCUAUUUAGGUAGCGCCUCGUGAAUUCAUCUCCGGGGGUAGAGCACUGUUUCGGCAAGGGGGUCAUCCCGACUUACCAACCCGAUGCAAACUGCGAAUACCGGAGAAUGUUAUCACGGGAGACACACGGCGGGUGCUAACGUCCGUCGUGAAGAGGGAAACAACCCAGACCGCCAGCUAAGGUCCCAAAGUCAUGGUUAAGUGGGAAACGAUGUGGGAAGGCCCAGACAGCCAGGAUGUUGGCUUAGAAGCAGCCAUCAUUUAAAGAAAGCGUAAUAGCUCACUGGUCGAGUCGGCCUGCGCGGAAGAUGUAACGGGGCUAAACCAUGCACCGAAGCUGCGGCAGCGACGCUUAUGCGUUGUUGGGUAGGGGAGCGUUCUGUAAGCCUGUGAAGGUGGCCUGUGAGGGUUGCUGGAGGUAUCAGAAGUGCGAAUGCUGACAUAAGUAACGAUAAAGCGGGUGAAAAGCCCGCUCGCCGGAAGACCAAGGGUUCCUGUCCAACGUUAAUCGGGGCAGGGUGAGUCGACCCCUAAGGCGAGGCCGAAAGGCGUAGUCGAUGGGAAACAGGUUAAUAUUCCUGUACUUGGUGUUACUGCGAAGGGGGGACGGAGAAGGCUAUGUUGGCCGGGCGACGGUUGUCCCGGUUUAAGCGUGUAGGCUGGUUUUCCAGGCAAAUCCGGAAAAUCAAGGCUGAGGCGUGAUGACGAGGCACUACGGUGCUGAAGCGACAAAUGCCCUGCUUCCAGGAAAAGCCUCUAAGCAUCAGGUAACAUCAAAUCGUACCCCAAACCGACACAGGUGGUCAGGUAGAGAAUACCAAGGCGCUUGAGAGAACUCGGGUGAAGGAACUAGGCAAAAUGGUGCCGUAACUUCGGGAGAAGGCACGCUGAUAUGUAGGUGAAGCGACUUGCUCGUGGAGCUGAAAUCAGUCGAAGAUACCAGCUGGCUGCAACUGUUUAUUAAAAACACAGCACUGUGCAAACACGAAAGUGGACGUAUACGGUGUGACGCCUGCCCGGUGCCGGAAGGUUAAUUGAUGGGGUUAGCGGCAACGCGAAGCUCUUGAUCGAAGCCCCGGUAAACGGCGGCCGUAACUAUAACGGUCCUAAGGUAGCGAAAUUCCUUGUCGGGUAAGUUCCGACCUGCACGAAUGGCGUAAUGAUGGCCAGGCUGUCUCCACCCGAGACUCAGUGAAAUUGAACUCGCUGUGAAGAUGCAGUGUACCCGCGGCAAGACGGAAAGACCCCGUGAACCUUUACUAUAGCUUGACACUGAACAUUGAGCCUUGAUGUGUAGGAUAGGUGGGAGGCUUUGAAGUGUGGACGCCAGUCUGCAUGGAGCCGACCUUGAAAUACCACCCUUUAAUGUUUGAUGUUCUAACGUUGGCCCGUAAUCCGGGUUGCGGACAGUGUCUGGUGGGUAGUUUGACUGGGGCGGUCUCCUCCUAAAGAGUAACGGAGGAGCACGAAGGUUGGCUAAUCCUGGUCGGACAUCAGGAGGUUAGUGCAAUGGCAUAAGCCAGCUUGACUGCGAGCGUGACGGCGCGAGCAGGUGCGAAAGCAGGUCAUAGUGAUCCGGUGGUUCUGAAUGGAAGGGCCAUCGCUCAACGGAUAAAAGGUACUCCGGGGAUAACAGGCUGAUACCGCCCAAGAGUUCAUAUCGACGGCGGUGUUUGGCACCUCGAUGUCGGCUCAUCACAUCCUGGGGCUGAAGUAGGUCCCAAGGGUAUGGCUGUUCGCCAUUUAAAGUGGUACGCGAGCUGGGUUUAGAACGUCGUGAGACAGUUCGGUCCCUAUCUGCCGUGGGCGCUGGAGAACUGAGGGGGGCUGCUCCUAGUACGAGAGGACCGGAGUGGACGCAUCACUGGUGUUCGGGUUGUCAUGCCAAUGGCACUGCCCGGUAGCUAAAUGCGGAAGAGAUAAGUGCUGAAAGCAUCUAAGCACGAAACUUGCCCCGAGAUGAGUUCUCCCUGAGACUUAGAGUCUCCUGAAGGAACGUUGAAGACGACGACGUUGAUAGGCCGGGUGUGUAAGCGCAGCGAUGCGUUGAGCUAACCGGUACUAAUGAACCGUGAGGCUUAACCUUACAACGCCGAAG
rnacentral:rRNA from 2 species